rnacentral:piRNA from 2 species
UGGCAAAGCACAAAGCUGAAUGAGGUC